UACGGGGGGGAGCAAGCGUUGUUCGGAUUUACUGGGCGUAAAGGGCGCGUAGGCGGUCAGCACAAGUCAGUUGUGAAAUCUCCGGGCUUAACUCGGAAAGGUCAACUGAUACUGUGCGACUAGAGUGCAGAAGGGGCAACUGGAAUUCUCGGUGUAGCGGUGAAAUGCGUAGAUAUCGAGAGGAACACCUGCGGCGAAGGCGGGUUGCUGGGACGGUACUGACGCUGAGACGCGAAAGCGUGGGGAGCGAACAGG
rnacentral:rRNA from 1 species